rnacentral:lncRNA from 1 species
AUGGGAGUAUAUGUAGGUCUCACUAGUUAUAGAGCGCCUAAGCCGAUUGAUGGAAAAUCAUCAUCAAUACAGUCAUCGAGUGCCUUAUCGAGACCAUGUCUUUCCAAGAUCUUUUUAUUCGGAUGUUGAUACAGAUUGGCAUCUCUUGAUCCAUCAAGAGUCCAUGUAAAUCCGGAAUGAACACGCAAAGGCAUAAUUCACCAUAUCCCUUCCAAAUCAAAUAGAGUCUAUGUGCGUUUCAAUACAUUUAGCAAACGCAUGCUCCUGUGGUUUGGAGCCACUUGAUUCGGAUGAAUGAAGUCCGUUUAAGAUCUUCAUGUAUAUCUCUGAUCCCAUAGAGAUGUUAUUAUGACCACAUUCAUAGGCUGCUUGUUCAGUUAUUUGGAAACUACCAAACUAACAAAGUAGUGGAGUUCAAUGACAUUCAUUACGAGAGCAUAUCUCAUCGUAGUUGAUCCCAGUGCGUGUUAGUGAAAGACCUUGCGCCAUAAGGUGAGUCUAAGCUCUUACUCUCACUACACUAUCUAACAAAGGCAUAGUUGAUAGGGUUUAGCUUGCGGUGUCGGCAUCACCUGCCCACGGACCUAUCUCUUUGUUAAUGCUGGAUCGCAUCUUUCCAUUAGGCCAAUCAACUAAGUUGAUAUCCAUCAACGAAGGGUGGUUCGAUAGUAGACUCAUUAUCUCACGUCCUCAUGUACACUAGUGUAAUACUUGUAGAGAUCUCUAUAUGGAUUGGAUUUGACAUUGAGGUGUCCCCCAACGAUAAUCACAAUUCAGACUUCAUGAGACGGAUUUGAGUAUCACUGAUCAAUGGAUCAGGUUGUGCCAAGCUCGCUUUCUUUCUAGUGCAAGACAAUAUCGAACCUAAGGGCCUCCCUCCUUUUAGGGAGCCACACGGCCUUGUGACACCAAUUUUGCCACUAUAUGGCGUCACCAUAUCACCAUCCAUGGUGAUGGCGUCAAGACCAACACUUUUUGGUCGCGCCAUGUCCUUUUGUAGGACAUCAAUCCUUGCAGACAU